UUAUGACUUUUAUAACUUAAUUUUUUAUUAAAAAAUAAAAUAAAAAUAAAAAUAUGAAGAAACAAUGGGUCAUGGGGUUGUAAAUUACACAAAGGGUGUUAGGGCCCAAAAAACAUAGAAGGGGAAAAAACCCAAAAGGCCCAAAACCCACUUUCCUUCUAAAACCCUACAUGAAACCAAACAGAAAUUGGCCAGGGGAAGGGUGCAGCCACCACCCAUGCAAAAUCCCAAUUAAAAUGUAAUUAAAUAAAUAAUAAUAAAAAAAGAAAUAAAUUAAAAACAAUCAUUAAAUGUAAAAAAAG
rnacentral:lncRNA from 1 species